GCCGGCGGCCGCGGAGGGCGCAGCGGCCUCCUGUUCUCGCGCCAUGGAGAAGAGCUCGAGCUGCGAGAGUCUUGGCGCGCAGCUCCCGGCGGCAAGGCUUCCCAGCGAGGACUCACUGUCCAGUUCAUGUGUUAAGAACCAUUGACAUUUGAAGAUCGUCAGAACUGAAGAUAAAACAUCUCAAAAAGUAUAAUUGCUUCCACUUCUCAUUCAGAGAACUCGGUUCAUACCAAAUCAGUUUCUGCUAUAUCAUCAGAUUCUAUUUCAACCUCUGCAGACAACUUCUCUCCUGAUCUGAGGGUCCUGAGGGAGGCAAACAAAUUAGCAGAAAUGGAGGAACCAGCCCUGCUUCCAGGAGAGAACAUCAAAGA
rnacentral:lncRNA from 1 species